rnacentral:rRNA from 1 species
GUGGGGAAUAUUGGGCAAUGGGCGAAAGCCUGACCCAGCAACGCCGCGUGAAGGAAGAAGGUCUUCGGAUCGUAAACUUCUAUCCUUGGUGAAGAUAAUGACGGUAGCCGAGAAGGAAGCCCCGGCUAACGACGUGCCAGCAGCCGCGGGAAUACGUAGGGGGCAAGCGUUGUCCGGAAUGAUUGGGCGUAAAGGGCGCGUAGGCGGCCUGGUAAGUCUGGAGUGAAAGUCCUGCAUUUAAGGUGGGAAUUGCUUUGGAUACUGGCGUGCUUGAGUGCAGGAGAGGUAAGUGGAAUUCCCGGUGUAGCGGUGAAAUGCGUAGAGAUCGGGAGGAACACCAGUGGCGAAGGCGACUUACUGGACUGUAACUGACGCUGAGGCGCGAAAGUGUGGGGAGCAAACAGGAUUAGAAACCCCUGUAGUCC